rnacentral:rRNA from 1 species
GUCUUUUUGUUAUUUAUUAUAAGGUCUGACCUGCCCACUGAAAUUAUUUUGAAGGGCCGCAGUAUUUUGACUGUGCAAAGGUAGCAUAAUCAUUAGUCUUUUAAUUGAAGGCUGGUAUGAAUGGUUGGAUGAGGUGCAUGCUGUUUCAUAAAAAAUAAAGAUUGAAUUUAUCAUUUUAGUUAAAAGACUGAAAUUUUUUUAAAAGACGAGAAGACCCUAUAGAGCUUUAUAUAAGUAGUAUCUAAUUUAUUAAGAUUUUUUAAAUUUAGUUAUUUAUUUAUAUUUUGUUGGGGUGACAAUAAAAUCUAUAAAACUUUUAUUUUUAUUUAACAUUAAUUUAUGAGUAAAUGAUCCAGUUUUAUUGAUUAUAAAUUUAAGUUACCUUAGGGAUAACAGCGUAAUUUUUUUUGAGAGUUCUUAUCGACAAAAAAGAUUGCGACCUCGAUGUUGGAUUAAGAGUAAUUUUGGGUGUAGAAGUUCAAAGUUUAAGUCUGUUCGACUUUUAAAUUCUUACAU